AGGACGACGUCUGUCACAGAGGGAACGGCGCAGUGGUAGUGAGACGUUUGACGUGUGUGCGGCAAAGACAUGAGAAAGGCAGGGCUGAAAGGGGCGUGCUCCAAUAGAGUCUAACCAAUACGUACUUCUUUUACACAGUUAAGAUUCGAGACACAGUUCUGGAAAUAGCCGCACCAGACGGUGACCACACACGCACUGCCAACUUGACAGGUGGAGUUGAACGAGUUGAAAAACACAGCAAAGUUAACAAAAUGGAGCGUAAAGAUAUUCAGAGAAUGGCUGAAAUCAAGACAGCAGUGUGUAGAAUUUGCAGAACUACCACCCAAGGUCCUGGAAAUCUGCUAAGACAGUUCUAAGCAGAGGUACAAGUGGACAGAAUACUCCAAGGCCAGCUAUAUGUGGUUGUUUCUGGGCUGCGAUUCAUCACCAUCUUAAAGUUUAUGAUUUGUCGUCGUUUGGCGAAAAAAAACUUCAUGUUGCUUGACAGGGCUCUAUCAAGACAUACAGGUUUAUGCCUAGGUUACACAUAGCCGAAUUUGGCUCCCGACUCUCUCCCGACUAUGGUUUAGGAGUGAUUCGGGAGCUAGUCGGCUGUAGUCGGCUGGCGUUCGGAUGAGUCGGCCGGCGUUCGGGUGAGUCGGCUGGUCGGAUGGUUGGUAAUAGGUUAGUUAGCAUUCGGGACACAGUCGAGAGUAAGUCAUUUACUGGUCGGGAAAUG